rnacentral:tRNA from 1 species
GUUAAAUUAGAUUAAAUGAAGAUUAUAGGACUCAAAAUCCAGUGGGGCUUACACCCCGUGUGGGUUCGACUCCCACCUUCGGCACCA